rnacentral:rRNA from 1 species
UCAGCAGCCGCGGUAAUACGUAGGAUCCAAGCGUUGUCCGGAUUUACUGGGUGUAAAGGGUGCGCAGGCGGACUUGUUAGUCAGAGGUGAAAUCUCACUGCUCAACAGUGAAACUGCCUUUGAUACUGCAGGUCUUGAAUCCAGAAGAGAGUUGUGGAAUUCCGAGUGUAGCAGUGAAAUGUGUAGAUAUUCGGAAGAACACCAGCGGCGAAGGCAGCAACUUGGUCUGGUAUUGACGCUCAGGCACGAAAGCAUGGGGAUCAAACAGGAUUAGAUACCCUGGUAGUCCAUGCCCUAAACGAUGAUCACUUGAUGUCGGCCCUCAGGGUCGGUGUCGAAGCUAACGCGUUAAGUGAUCCACCUGGGGAGUACGCUCGCAAGGGUGAAACUCAAAGGAAUUGACGGGGGCCCGCACAAGC